AGAGACAGCAGCCGCCGCGGUAAUACGGGGGGGGCAAGUGUUAUUCGGAACGACUGGGCGUAAAGGGCACGUAGGCGGUGAAAAGGGUGGAAAGUGAAAGUCUCCAAAACACUGGCGGGGUGCUUUCUUGACCAUUUCACUUGAGUGAGAUAGGGGAGAGUGGAAUUUCGUGUGGAGGGAUCAAAUCCUAAGAUAUACGAAGGAACGCCAACCGCGAAGGCAGCUCUCUGGGUCCCCACUGACGCUGGGGUGCGAAAGCAUGGGGAGCAAACAGGAUUAGAUACCCCCGUAGUCCCUGUCUCUUAUACA
rnacentral:rRNA from 1 species